UACGGAGGGAGCUAGCGUUGUUCGGAAUUACUGGGCGUAAAGCGUGCGUAGGCGGUUACUCAAGUCAGAGGUGAAAGCCCGGGGCUCAACCCCGGAACGGCCUUUGAAACUAGGUAGCUAGAAUCUUGGAGAGGUUAGUGGAAUUCCGAGUGUAGAGGUGAAAUUCGUAGAUAUUCGGAAGAACACCAGUGGCGAAGGCGACUAACUGGACAAGCAUUGACGCUGAGGCACGAAAGCGUGGGGAGCAAACAGG
rnacentral:rRNA from 1 species